AGCUUGCUCCCGGAUGUUAGCGGCGGACGGGUGAGUAACACGUGGGUAACCUGCCUGUAAGACUGGGAUAACUCCGGGAAACCGGAGCUAAUACCGGAUAGUUCCUUGAACCGCAUGGUUCAAGGAUGAAAGACGGUUUCGGCUGUCACUUACAGAUGGACCCGCGGCGCAUUAGCUAGUUGGUGAGGUAACGGCUCACCAAGGCGACGAUGCGUAGCCGACCUGAGAGGGUGAUCGGCCACACUGGGACUGAGACACGGCCCAGACUCCUACGGGAGGCAGCAGUAGGGAAUCUUCCGCAAUGGACGAAAGUCUGACGGAGCAACGCCGCGUGAGUGAUGAAGGUUUUCGGAUCGUAAAGCUCUGUUGUUAGGGAAGAACAAGUGCAAGAGUAACUGCUUGCACCUUGACGGUACCUAACCAGAAAGCCACGGCUAACUACGUGCCAGCAGCCGCGGUAAUACGUAGGUGGCAAGCGUUGUCCGGAAUUAUUGGGCGUAAAGGGCUCGCAGGCGGUUUCUUAAGUCUGAUGUGAAAGCCCCCGGCUCAACCGGGGAGGGUCAUUGGAAACUGGGAAACUUGAGUGCAGAAGAGGAGAGUGGAAUUCCACGUGUAGCGGUGAAAUGCGUAGAGAUGUGGAGGAACACCAGUGGCGAAGGCGACUCUCUGGUCUGUAACUGACGCUGAGGAGCGAAAGCGUGGGGAGCGAACAGGAUUAGAUACCCUGGUAGUCCACGCCGUAAACGAUGAGUGCUAAGUGUUAGGGGGUUUCCGCCCCUUAGUGCUGCAGCUAACGCAUUAAGCACUCCGCCUGGGGAGUACGGUCGCAAGACUGAAACUCAAAGGAAUUGACGGGGGCCCGCACAAGCGGUGGAGCAUGUGGUUUAAUUCGAAGCAACGCGAAGAACCUUACCAGGUCUUGACAUCCUCUGACAACCCUAGAGAUAGGGCUUUCCCUUCGGGGACAGAGUGACAGGUGGUGCAUGGUUGUCGUCAGCUCGUGUCGUGAGAUGUUGGGUUAAGUCCCGCAACGAGCGCAACCCUUGAUCUUAGUUGCCAGCAUUCAGUUGGGCACUUUAAGGUGACUGCCGGUGACAAACCGGAGGAAGGUGGGGAUGACGUCAAAUCAUCAUGCCCCUUAUGACCUGGGCUACACACGUGCUACAAUGGACAGAACAAAGGGCUGCGAGACCGCAAGGUUUAGCCAAUCCCACAAAUCUGUUCUCAGUUACGAUCGCAGUCUGCAACUCGACUGCGUGAAGCUGGAAUCGCUAGUAAUCGCGGAUCAGC
rnacentral:rRNA from 1 species